rnacentral:rRNA from 1 species
GGUAUGAAUGGUUAAACGAGAAAUAGACUUUUUUUGUUAUAUAAAUUGAAUUUAAUUUUUUAGUGAAAAAGCUAAAAUUAUUCAGAAAGACGAGAAGACCCUAUAGAGUUUUAUGUUUUAGAACUAUAUCUCCUAAUAGAUUUUUAUGGAUUAGUAGUUUUCGAUCAUUUUGUUGGGGCGACAUUAAGAUAUAAGAAACUCUUUAUUUUAAAAAUUUUUAUAAAAAUAUUUUUUGAUCCUUAAAAAAAGAUUAAAAGAAAAAAUUACCUUAGGGAUAACAGCGUAAUCUUUUUUGAGAGUUCUAAUCGACAAAAAGGUUUGCGACCU